GUGCACAUUUCAUUACCCCGUGUUCUCUUGUAUAUGUGAGCGGUGUUAUUUCUUGUGUGCUGUACGGAUAGUUGAAGGUUAAUUAGUAUAACUAAAUAGUCAUGCUGGCAGUCUCCUUCAGACAAAU